rnacentral:sRNA from 1 species
GCGAUCGUUUUCGGCACUGAUUUGUGCCAGU